GCCGGUGUGGCUCAGUGGAUAGAGCGCUGGUGGGUCUGUUGACUGAAGGGUCCCGGGUUCGAUUCCCGGCCAGGGCA
rnacentral:tRNA from 1 species